CGAUUGCGAAGGCAGCUUGCUGNACUGUAACUGACGCUGAGGCACGAAAGCGUGGGGAUCAAACAGGAUUAGAUACCCUGGUANNCCACGCCGUAAACGAUGAAUGCUAGCUGUUAGCGAUAUACUGUUAGCGGCACAGAGAAAUCGUUAAGCAUUCCACCUGGGGAGUACGCCGGCAACGGUGAAACUCAAAGGAAUUGACGGGGGCCCGCACAAGCGGAGGAACAUGUGGUUUAAUUCGAUGAUACGCGAGGAACCUUACCUGGGCUUAAAUUGCAGUGGAAUAACGUGGAAACAUGUUAGCCUUCGGGCCGCUGUGAAGGUGCUGCAUGGUUGUCGUCAGCUCGUGCCGUGAGGUGUCGGCUUAAGUGCCAUAACGAGCGCAACCCUCAUCGAUAGUUACUAACAGGUUAAGCUGAGGACUCUAUCGAGACUGCCGACGUAAGUCGUGAGGAAGGUGGGGAUGACGUCAAAUCAGCACGGCCCUUACGUCCAGGGCUACACACGUGUUACAAUGGGGGGUACAAAGGGCAGCUACCUGGCGACAGGAUGCUAAUCUCAAAAACCUCUCUCAGUUCGGAUUGGAGUCUGCAACCCGACUCCAUGAAGCUGGAUUCGCUAGUAAUCGCGCAUCAGCCACGGCGCGGUGAAUACGUUCCCGGGCCUUGUACACACCGCCCGUCAAGCCAUGGGAGCCGGGGGGACCUGAAGUAUGCAACCGUAAGGAGCGUCCUAGGGUAAAACUGGUGACUGGGGCU
rnacentral:rRNA from 1 species